rnacentral:rRNA from 1 species
UACGUAGGGUGCGAGCGUUAAUCGGAAUUACUGGGCGUAAAGCGUGCGCAGGCGGUCUGUUAAGACCGAUGUGAAAUCCCCGGGCUUAACCUGGGAACUGCAUUGGUGACUGGCAGGCUUUGAGUGUGGCAGAGGGAGGUAGAAUUCCACGUGUAGCAGUGAAAUGCGUAGAGAUAUGGAGGAAUACCGAUGGCGAAGGCAGCCUCCUGGGCCAACACUGACGCUCAUGCACGAAAGCGUGGGGAGCAAACAGG